GUCUAUAGCCAUGCCACUCUGAAUAAGCCUGAUCCCGUCUGAUUUCGGAAGCUAAGCAGAGUCAGGCCUGGUUAGCACUUGGUUGGGAGACCACUUAGGAAGACCAGGUGCUGUAGGUG
rnacentral:rRNA from 1 species